rnacentral:rRNA from 1 species
CCUACGUGAGGCAGCAGUAGGGAAUCUUCCACAAUGGGCGCAAGCCUGAUGGAGCAACACCGCGUGCGUGACUAAGGGUUUCGGCUCGUAAAGCUCUGUUGUUGGAGAAGAACGUGCGUGAGAGUAACUGUUCACGCAGUGACGGUAUCCAAUCAGAACGUCACGGCUAACUCCGUGCCAGCAGCCGCGGUAAUCCGUAGGUGGCAAGCGUUAUCCGGAUUUAUUGGGCGUAAAGCGAGCGCAGGCGGUUGCUUAGGUCUGAUGUGAAAGCCUGCGGCUUAACCGAAGAAGUGCAUCGGAAACCGGGCGACUUGAGUGCAGAAGAGGACAGUGGAACUCCAUGUGUAGCGGUGGAAUGCGUAGAGAUAUGGAAGAACACCAGGGGCGAAGGCGGCUGUCUGGUCUGCAACUGACGCUGAGGCGCGAAAGCAUGGGUAGCGAACAGGAUUAGAUACCCUGGUAGUC